GGGGAUAUAGCUCAGUGGUAGAGCACUUGCCUAGCAUGCUGGAAGUCCUGGGUUUGGAUCCCUAGCACCA
rnacentral:tRNA from 1 species